AUGCCGAUGGGGUCCAACGAGGCGGACAAGCCGCUGCGGCGGAUUGGCGCGUCGUUUGAGCAGCUCGCGGUCGUCUCCAAGCAGCAGCAGCCCGCGAUGGCGGCGGGGGACUUCUCGCGCGCCUGCUCCAACGUCUCCGUCCUAUUCUGCUGCCUCGGCAUCGCCUUCAAGUUUGCGGAGAUGGACUACGUAGCCAAGGUCGCGGCGACCACCAAGAAGACACCCAACUCCCGCACCCCGAACUACCCUACCCGAGCCUGCCAUUGCAGCUGCUGUGUCAAGUCCACAACAUCACCAUGCAUGCUGACAAGGACAAUGACGAGGUCUACGCACAGAUGA
rnacentral:rRNA from 1 species